rnacentral:rRNA from 1 species
AACGAACGUUAGCGGCGCGCUUAACACAUGCAAGUCGCACGAGAAAGGGCUUCGGCCCCGGUAAAGUGGCGCACGGGUGAGUAACACGUGGGUAAUCUGCCCUCGAGCGGGGGAUAACAUCUCGAAAGGGAUGCUAAUACCGCAUAAGACCACAGCCUCGAAAGAGGCAGCGGUCAAAGCAGGCCUCUGUAUACAAGCCUGCACUUGAGGAUGAGCCCCGCGGCCCAUCAGCUAGUUGGCAGGGUAACGGCCUACCAAGGCGACGACGGGUAGCUGGUCUGAGAGGAUGAUCAGCCACACUGGAACUGAGACACGGUCCAGACUCCUACGGGAGGCAGCAGUGGGGAAUCUUGCGCAAUGGGCGAAAGCCUGACGCAGCGACGCCGCGUGGGUGAUGAAGGCCUC